GGUACUCCGGGGAUAACAGGCUAAUUCCUCCCAAGAGGUCAUAUCGACGGAGGAGUUUGGCACCUCUAUGUCGGCUCAUCACAUCCUGGGGCUGAAGUAGGUCCCAAGGGUAUGGCUGUUCGACAUUUAAAGUGGUACGCGAGCUGGGUUCAGAACGUCGUGAGACAGUUCGGUCCCUAUAUGCCGUGGGCGUUAGAGAUUUGAGAAGAGUUGCUCCUAGUACGAGUGGACCG
rnacentral:rRNA from 1 species